rnacentral:rRNA from 1 species
AUGGCGGCUCGGCGGCUGGCCGGCGCGGGCCGCGCGGUGCUCUCGCUGCCCAGCGUGCGGCGGCGGGCGACCAACUCCUGGGCCGCCGUCCGCGACACCUUCUUCUCCACCAAGGAAGUGUUCGAGAGCCACCGCGUCGUCUUCACCGUCGGCACCUCCAUCGCCUCCGUCCUCACGGCCUGGGCCGGUUACUCUCUUCGUCAUAUGCAGCAAACAAAGAUCGACAAGAGGCUUCAUUCCAUUGAGGAAUCUUUGAGGAACACCCACAAAGUUGAACAUGAUGAGAUCAAAAAGAUUGUUACCUCCUAUAAUAUUAGCACUUCAGCUUGUAUAGCCACUGCAUUGACAACUACGGUUGUUGGGUACGCCCUGGGGUGGCGCGGCGGAGCCUGGUACACCCGGAGGAUCGUCCGGAGGGAGCAGCAGAAGCUGAUGGGCCAGAUAAAGUCGCAGAACCGGUGGCACUGGCGCCCCUUCAGCAAGCUGAGGACCCGGUUCAGGAGCAACCGGCACGCCUCCAAGACCUCCGACGCCGCGCCACUUCCCGGCAAGGACGCCGAGGCCUCCAUCAACAAGGGCCAGGGCAGCGAGGCCCUUUCGAACAACGCAGCCUCGGCGAACGCCAGCAGUGGCUCCCAGCCAGCAGCGGCGGCCGCGGCGGGCUGCAGAUGA